GUUUUUAUCAGGUAAAGCGAAUGAUUAGAAGCUCUGGGGAUGAAACAUCCUCGACUUAUUCUCAAACUUUUAAAUAGGUAAGAUGAUUGCAGUACUUAAUUGACUGUCAGUCUCUUGAAUAGUAAGUUCUUAGUGGGCCAUUUUUGGUAAGCAGAACUGGCGAUGUGGGAUGAACCAAACGUAAAGUUAAAAGUGCCUAAAAGUACGUUCAUCAGAUACCACAAAAGGUGUUGAUUCAUCUUGACAGUUGGACAGUGGCCAUGGAAGUCGGAAUCUGCUAAGGAGUGUGUAACAACUCACCAACCGAAUGAAUUAGCCCUGAAAAUGGAUGGCGCUUAAACGUACUACUUAUACUUUACCAUUAAGAUAAAUGCUAAAUCUUAAUGAGUAGGAGGGCGUAUUGAUAAUUUAGAAGACUGAUAGUGAUAUUGGUUGGAAUUAUCUUUAGUGCAGAUCUUGGUGGUAGUAGCAAAUAUUCAAUAGAGAACAUUGAAGAC
rnacentral:rRNA from 1 species